GGCGGUAUUGUUAAGCUAGGAUGUGAAAGCCCCGGGCUCAACCUGGGAACUGCAUUUCAAACUGGCAAACUAGAGUGUGAGAGAGGGGGGUGGAAUUCCAAGUGUAGCGGUGAAAUGCGUAGAUAUCUGAAGGAAUACCGAUGGCGAAGGCGGCCCCCUGGGUCAAUACUGACGCUCAUGUGCGAAAGCGUGGGGAGCAAACAGGAUUAGAUACCCUGGUAGUCCACGCCGUAAACGAUGACUGCUAGAAGUUGGAAACUUCAGUUCUGGGUUACAAAGCUAACGGAUUAAGUAUACCGCCUGGGGAGUACGGCCGCAAGGUUA
rnacentral:rRNA from 1 species